UUGUUGACUGGAGAAGUUGCACCAUUCCAUCUAAUUAACCAUUGGAAUAUAUUUCCUGCAAAUAAACUUUCUUCCAUGCUUAUUGUUAUCCUUUAUCUUCUGUAGUUCCCACCAUU